rnacentral:misc_RNA from 1 species
AAGUCGUAACAAGGUUUCCGUAGGUGAACCUGCGGAAGGAUCAUUUCCUGUUUUUCGUUUUUUUUAGCAAAACGUAAACACGCAUUGUGACUUCUAAACUGUAUCGUCUCCAGUAGAGGGACGUGCGGACGCUUGCGCGACGGCUCUGCCGUCGGAAGUUCGCUCUCUGAAACGGUCCUACGUUGGACGUCCUUAUUUCGCCUCAGGGCGUAAUCGUGUGGACGUCGCGACGAUACGCGUCGGACCGGAGAGCGAGCGGCGCGCGUUUCGCACGUUUCUUUCCAUUUUUUUUAAACAAAAUGCAUGAAAAACCGUAUAACUCAGGGUAACACCGAUAAAUGAUUACCCUGAUCGGUGGAUCACUAGGCUCGUGG